GACGAACGCUGGCGGCGUGCCUAAUACAUGCAAGUCGAACGCAGUGGGGACGGGUGAGUAACACGUGGGUAACCUCCCAUCAGAGGGGAUAACACUUGGAAACAGGUGCUAAACCGAUACUGAUGGAUGGACCCGCGGGUGUUUAGCUAGUUGGUGGGGUAACGGCUCACCAAGGCCAGGAGGCGUAGACGAACGGAGAGGGUGAUCGGCCACCUGGGGACUGAGACACGGCCCAGAGUCCUAAGGGAGGCAGCAGUAGGGAAUCGUCGGCAAUGGACGAAAGUAUGACCGAGCAACGCAGAGUGAGUUAAGAAGGUUUUCGGAUCGUAAAGCUCUGUUGUGAGAGGAGCGGUAUCUAACCAGAAAGCACCGGCUAACUACGUGCCAGCAGCCGCGGUAAUUC
rnacentral:rRNA from 1 species